rnacentral:rRNA from 1 species
CCUACGGGCGGCAGCAGUGAGGAAUAUUGGUCAAUGGGGGCAACCCUGAACCAGCCAAGUAGCGUGAAGGAUGACGGCCCUAGGGGUUGUAAACUUCUUUUAUACGGGAGUAAACUGAGUCACGUGUGCCUUAUUGCAUGUACGGUAUGAAUAAGGAACGGCUAACUCCGUUCCAGCAGCCGCGGUAAUACGGAGGGUCCGGGCGUUAUCCGGAUUUAUUGGGUUUAAAGGGAGCGUAGCCGGGACGUUAAGUGAGUUGUGAAAUGCUGCGGCUCAACCGUGGAACUGCAGUGGAUACUGGGAGGCUUGAGUGUGGGGGAGGUAGGCGGAAUUCGUGGUGUAGCGGUGAAAUGCUUAGAUAUCACGAAGAACUCCGAUUGCGAAGGCAGCUUUCUGGAGCGUAACUGACGCUGAGGCUCGAAGGUGUGGGUAGCAAACAGGAUUAGAUACCCGUGUAGUC